rnacentral:rRNA from 1 species
CAUACAAAGAAGAAUAAGGUUAGUAUAUUUAUAUUGAUUUUAACAUAUAAAAACAUACGAUGAAGAGUUUUGAUCCUGGCUCAGGAUGAACGCUAGCGGCAGGCCUAACACAUGCAAGUCGAGGGGUAGAAUUAGCUUGCUAAUUUGAGACCGGCGCACGGGUGCGUAACGCGUAUGCAAUCUACCUUGUACAGGGGGAUAGCCCAGAGAAAUUUGGAUUAAUACCCCAUGGUAUAAUUAAUUUGCAUGAAUUGAUUAUUAAAGUUCCAACGGUACAAGAUGAGCAUGCGUCCCAUUAGCUAGUUGGUGUGGUAACGGCAUACCAAGGCGACGAUGGGUAGGGGUCCUGAGAGGGAGAUCCCCCACACUGGUACUGAGACACGGACCAGACUCCUACGGGAGGCAGCAGGCGA